AGAUACAAGGGCCACAGAAAUAAUGCCACAGUAAAAGGCGUCAAUUUCUAUGGCCCCAAGAGUGAGUUUGUGGUGAGCGGUAGUGACUGUGGGCACAUCUUCCUCUGGGAGAAAUCAUCCUGCCAGAUUAUUCAGUUCAUGGAGGGGGACAAGGGAGGCUGGGAAGAGGUGGGAGGAGGGGCAGAAGUGAAGGAAGAAUAGGAAGGAUAUUACCUCUUCUGUUAUUUUUUUAAGAAACAUUGUUUGGUGGCAGCAAUCUCCCUGUCCCUAUCACUGUUAGAGGCCUAAUUUUAUAUCUAUAAAUAUAUUAAAAAGCAAGUCAAACUUGGAUGUAUCAAGGUAAAAUUAUUGUCAAAGUUUAAAUACCUAUAUAUUCUCUGAAUGCAAUAAAGGGACUUAAGAGUGAACAAGAGUAAUGGUGUGGAAGUGACACCUGGGGUCAGUUUACCUCUGUGUAUGGUCACUAGAGAUUGGGACUUACCCUUUAGGUUUUAGGAGGCUUGAGAAUGGAAG
rnacentral:lncRNA from 1 species